GCGCGAGCGAUCAGCGAGUGACGAGUAUGAGAGGUCGAAGAUCUCGAAGGGGAUGCCAGUUCGAAUCUGGUCUCGUGCUCCA
rnacentral:tRNA from 1 species